UCCUGGUUACCCAGGCAGUCUCAUUAGAGUUCCCACCUUAAAUGUUGGCAACUAAUGAUAAGGGUUGCGCUCGUUGCUGGACUUAACCAAACACCUCACGGCACGAGCUGACGACAGCCAUGCAGCACCUGUACAGAGACCCUUACGGGAGAUGACAUUUCUGCCAUUGUCCUCUGUAUGUCAAGUCUGGGUAAGGUUCUUCGCGUAGCAUCGAAUUAAACCACAUUCUCCACUGCUUGUGCGGGCCCCCGUCAAUUCUUUUGAGUUUCACCCUUGCGAGCGUACUCCUCAGGCGGUAUACUUAUCGCGUUAGCUACGACACAGCUGGGGUUGAGACCAACUACAUCAAGUAUACAUCGUUUAGGGCAAGGACUAC
rnacentral:misc_RNA from 1 species